UACGUAGGCAGCGAGCGUUGUUCGGAAUUACUGGGCGUAAAGAGUGUGUAGGCGGUGCUCCAAGUCUGUUGUGAAAUCUCCCGGCUUAACUGGGAGGGUGCGGCGGAAACUGGAGUGGUCGAGUGUGGGAGAGGUAAGCGGAAUUCCUGGUGUAGCGGUGAAAUGCGUAGAUAUCAGGAGGAACACCUGUGGUGUAGGCAGCUUACUGGACCACGACUGACGCUGAGACACGAAAGCGUGGGUAGCAAACAGG
rnacentral:rRNA from 1 species